UAUAUAUAUAUAUAUAUAUAUAUAUACACACACACACACACACAUACACACACACACACACACACACACAGUAGAGUCUCACUUAUCCAAGCUAAAUGGGCCGGCAGAAGCUUGGAUAAGCGAAUAUCUUGGAUAAUAUGGAGGUAUUAAGGAAAAACCUAUUAAACAUCAAAUUAGGUUAUGAUUUUACAAAUUAAGCACCAAAACAUCAUGUUAUACAACAAAUUUGACAGAAAAGGCAGUUCAACACACAGUAAUGUUAUGUUGUAAUUACUGUAUUUAUGAAUUUAGCACCAAAAUAUCACGAUAUAUUGAAAACAUUGACUACAAAAAUGGCUUGGAUAAUCCAGAAACUUGGAUAAGCGAGGCUUGGAUAAGUGAGACUCUACUGUGUGUGUGUGUGUGUGUGUGUGUGUAUACAGUAGAGUCUCACUAAUCCAAGCCUCGCUUAUCCAAGCUUCUGCCGGCCCAUUUAGCUUGGAUAAGUGAGACUCUACUGUAAACACAUAACAAAAGUGAAAAUUUGUAUGUGUGUAUGUGGCAGAGGUGUCUACUUACACACAUAGCCUCCCACCUCCACAAACAGCUACAACCCACAGUGCUGAGGAGCCAUCAAAAGCACUCCCUCCAAUGACAUUUCAGGUUACAGCGAGCUCCAUGAACAUGUAGCCCAAACCCUGCCAGUGUCCUCCCCAAACAUUGGCCCACCACCCAAGGAAUGCUUUCAUUCAGGGACAAUUUCCGCCUAGAUUUUACGUGUUUCCUCCACCACAGGCAGGCAUCCCAGUGUUCCUUACUCUCUCCAUUGGUGUGGAAUUUGCAUGACCACACCCAUUGCCUCUCCCUUAACCCUUUCCUACUCUUUUCAACUCUGUCUUCAUAACAAACAGAGUGGAACUGAGCAGCAACUAAACAUACUGGAGGAGUUUGGGGGAUUGAAGCCACAUGGCGGAAGUUGUAGUUCACCCUGCAUCAAGUCAGAGCACUGUGACUUCCACUGAGAAUUGACCUGGACCACAUUUGGCACACAGAACCCCCAUGACCAACGAAAAAUACUGGAAAGGUUUGGGAGGAAUUCACCUUGAUUUAUAGCCAUAGGUACUGGGAUUUAUAGUUCACCUGCAAUCACCGAGGAUGGACCAGGACCAAACUUGGCACAGAGAACCCUCCUGACCAAUUAAACACAUUGCAGGGGUUUGGGGGAAUUGACCUUGAUUUUGGGAGUUGUUCAUCUGCAUCCAAAGAAACAGUGACCCCCACCGACAAUGACUGGGAACAAACUUGACACAGAGAAGCCUCUGCAGGGGUUUCUGGAAAUCGACCUUGAUUUUGGGAGUUGUAGUUCACCUGCAUCCAGAGAAACAGUGACCAUCACCGACAAUGGACCGGGACCCAACUUGGCACAGAGAAGCCUUAUGACCAACUGAACAUACUGCAGGGGUUUGUGGGAAUUGACCUUGAUAUUAGGAGUUGUAGUUCACCCUUAUCCACAGAGCACUGAACCCAGCCAACAUCGGAUCUGCAUCAAAUGUGACACACAGACCCAACAUGGCCCACUGUGCAUACAGACCUCAUUUGGGGGUGAUUGGCCUUGGCAUAUGGGAGUUGUAGUUCACCCUUAUCCAAACAGCCCUGAACCCAGCCGACAACCCAGCCGUCAAAUAACCCAGGCACCGCCGGGUCCCCAUGCUAGUAUAUAUGUGAGCGGCCGCUGUUAGCUCCAGCUCCUGCUAACCUAGCAGUUCGAAAACAUGCCAAUGUGAGUAGAUCAAUAGGUACUGCUCCUGCGGGAAGGUAACAGCGCUCCAUGCAGUCAUGCCGGCCACAUGACCUUGGAGGUGUCUACGGACAACGCCGGCUCUUCGGCUUAGUAAUGGAGAUGAGCACCAACCCCCAGAGUCAGACAUGACUGGGGAACGUCGGGGGAAAACCUUUACCUUUAUAUAUAUAUAGAUAUAGAUAUAUAAUAUAUGUAUAUAUAGAUAUACAAUAUAGUCCCUUCUUAGAAUCUGGAAACAUUAUUUGUGAACAAGAAGCAGAAUCAUAGCCACGAUCCUGGACUGCCUCAACCAUAUCUCACAUUUACCAUUUCCUAAUUCAUUUUCUUACUCAUCUUGCUCUUUAGGCCAAAAACACUUUCCAGAUCUCUUUCCCACCGAGCCUUGUCCCCAUCCUCCAAUCCCCAUAUUAAACAUGAGGCCUUAAUCCAGAUUUCCCAAUCCUAUGGCCUCCUUCAGAUACAUUGGACUCCCAUAAACACGCUCCAACAUGGUAGCUGGGGAUGGUGGGAGGUGUCCGAUACGUUGCUGACGGAGCCUGACUUGGACCCUCCGCAGUUGUCACUUCCAAAAAAAGACCACUGUGCCCUUACAUUCCUCCUUUUGUUUCCUGGGCUCUUCUUCCAGGAAGCGGCUUUGCAGCUGGCAUCCUUUUGAUUGUUGAAACAACUUCAUGUGCUGGUGACGCCAAGCUGAUAAAUAAAAGACAAAUUAAUGGGUGAAUACAAAAUAGCAUCAAGAUUUUCCUGCUGUAAUGCUCCACUUCCUCAGGCCUUAAGAAUAUUUCUUGCUGAGAGUGGAAGUAAUAGCUCCCAUCUCUAUUCUCUUCCCAGCUUUCUGCUCUUACCAUUGACCAAACUUUUUCUAUGUUGCCUGAUGAUUUAUUAUGGCAACCCAAUACAUUUUGUCAUAAAGUUUCCUCAGAGGUGGUUUAUGUCACUUCCUUCCACUGAAAUAUAGCCAAUGGCACUUGAUAUUCAUUGGUGGUCUCCCAUCCAAGUGCCAGCUAAUGCUGACCCUUCUUAGCUUCUAUGAUUUGGUGCCCGUAGUCUAAUUAAACCCUUUCUACACUGCCAUAUAAUCCAGAUCAUCAAAGCAGAUAAUCUACAUUAUCGUCUUUGAACUGGAUUAUAUGAAUCUACACUGCCAUAUAAUUCAGUUCAGAGCAGACCAUUUGGAUUUUAUAUGGCAGUGUAGAAGAGGCCUUAGGUUGCAUCUACACUGUGGAAUUAAUGCAGUUUGACACUGAAGGGGUACCUUUAACACCAUAUUCAAUGCAUGCUAUACAAUCCCAGAAGCUGUAGUUUUAUGGAUUUGUUAGCUUUCUUUGCCAAAGAGGGCUGGUGCUUCACCAAACUACAAUUCCUACAAUCCCACAGGAUUAAGCCAUAGCAGUUAAAGUGGUGUCAAACUGCAUUAAUUCUGCAGUGCAGAUGCACCCUUUGGUGUCUUUUGUCUUCUUUCUUCCCAUCUUCCCCACCUUCCUAUCAAAGCCUUAUCCAGUUUUCACCUCUUUCCUUCAUCCAUCUCUUGAUAACUUUCCAAUUAAGCUAAUUCAAGUCUCCAGGACCAGAUCAUCUACAUCCAAGAGUAUUGAAGGAACUAGCGGAAGUUAUUUUGGAACUACUGGCAAUCAUCUUUAAGAGUUCUUGGAGAAGUCCCAGCAGAUUGGAGGAGGUCCCUAUCUUCAAGAAGGGAAAAAAGGACGACCCAAACAAUUACUGUCCGGUCAGCCUCACGUCAAAACCAGGAAAAGAUUGUUAAGGAAGUGGUCUGCAAACACUUAGAAAGGAAUGCAGUCAUCGCAAAUAGACAACAUGGAUUUAUCAAAAACAAGUCUAAUCUAAUCUAAUCAAAAAUAAACUAAUCUGAUCUCUUUUUUCAAUAGAGUUACAAGCUGGAUAGAUGCAAGGAACACCGUGGAUGGAGGCGUAUCUGGAUUUCAGGAAGGCCUUCCUUCAACAAGGUCCCCCAUGACCUUUUGGCAAACAAACUGGUCCUAUGUGGUCUAGGCAAAACUACACAGUGUUCCUUGAUUUCAAGGAGACUGGAGGGUUUUCAGCUGGACCACGUUGCCAUGGCGACGGGAUGCAGGCUGGAUCGCUUUGGACGGGGAUGCUGCUGCGAAAGGAAGCCGAGACCGAGAAAGAGAGAGGCAGCUGUGCCGAUUCAUGCCGAGGCUAUUUAGGAUGAGACAAUAUAGGGACGUUUUUAACAGAGAGGCAGGAACCCCCUCCAUUUCCCCUCUCUGCGGUUUUCUUCCUGACAGUGACCUAAUAAAGGAACGUUUUGAAACCUUUUUCUCUAUUCAUCCUCUUCUCCCCUUAAUUCGAAUGCUAGUUUUAUUGGAAUAAGGUGCAGUCUGCCUUGUAUCAGAAUCCUCAUGAUUUUCCUUUCCCACCUCCCCCAAGAAACCCUUAAAUAGACCAAAUUUGCUAAAGAGGGAAUAUGGUAAAACACGGGGAGACAAUGGUUGCAUCAAACACUGUAGAACUGAUGCAGUUUGAUGCCACUUUAACUGCCAUGGCUCAAUGCUAUGGAAUCCUCAGAUAUAGUAAUGCUACAACUACAGUAGAGUCUUAUCCAAGCUAAAUGGGCUGGAAGAAGCGAAUAUCUUGGAUAAUAAGGAGGGAUUAAGGAAAAGCCUAUUAAACGUCAAAUUAGGUUAUGAUUUUACAAAUUAAGCACCAAAACAUCAUGUUAUACAACAAAUUUGACAGAAAAAGUAGUUCAGUAUGCAAGAAUGUUAUGUUGUAAUUACUGUAUUUACAAAUUUAGCACCAAAAUAUCACGAUAUAUUGAAAACAUUGACUACAAAAAUGGCUUGGAUAAUCCAGAGGCUUGGAUAAGCGAGGCUUGGAUAAGCGAGACUCUACUGUACUACUAAUACUUUAUAUUAGUAAAUAAUAAUAUUUUUAUCAUGUCAGAAGCGACUUGAGAACAUACUGCAAGUCACUUCUAGUGUGAGAAAAUUGGCCAUCUACAGAGACGUUGCCUAGGGAUGCCCGGAUGUGUUACUGGGAGGCUUCUCUCAUGUCCCUGCAAGCUAGAGCUGACAGAUGGAUGCUCACUCUAUCCUGUGGAUUUGAACCAGUAACCUUCAGGUCAGCAACCCAACCUUUAGGUCAGCAGUUCACAAGGGUUUAACCCAUUGUGCCACUGCGGCUCCAAAUAAUAAUAAUGAUGAUGAUGAUGAUGAUGAUGAUGAUGAUGAUGAUGAUGAUGACCCAAAAUGCAGACUGUGCAAGGAAGCUGAAGAAAAUCGCACAGACAGACUACAAACAGAGACACAACUAUGUGGCCCAAAUGAUUCAUUGGAACUUAUGCCUCAAGUACCACCUUCCAGCAGUAAAGAACUGGUGGGAUCACAAACCUGCAGAAGUAUUGGAAAAUGAGCACGCAAAGAUAUUGUGGGACUUCCGAAUCCAGAUUGACAAAGUUCUGGAACACAACACACCAGACAUCACAGUUGUGGAAAAGAAAAAGGUUUGGAUCAUUGAUGUUGUCAUACCAGGUGACAGUCGCAUUGACAAAAAAACAACAGGAAAAACUCAGCGCUAUCAGGACCUCAAGACUGAACUUCAAAGACUCUGGCAGAAACCAGUACAGGUGGUCCCGGUGGUGAUCGGCACAUUGGUGCCGUGCCGAAAGAUCUCAGCCGGCAUUUGGAAACAAUAGACAUUGACAAAAUUAUGAUCUGCCAGCUGCAAAAGGCCACCCUACUGGGAUCUCCACGCAUCAUCCGAAAAUACAUCACACAGUCCUAGACACUUGAGAAGUGUUCGAUUUUGUGAAAUGAAAUCCAGCAUAUGUAUCUUGUUUGCUGUGUCAUACAAUAAAAUAAUAAUAAUAAUAAUGCA